rnacentral:rRNA from 1 species
GACGAACGCUGGCGGCGUGCCUAAUACAUGCAAGUUGAGCGCUGAAGGUUGGUACUUGUACCGACUGGAUGAGCAGCGAACGGGUGAGUAACGCGUGGGGAAUCUGCCUUUGAGCGGGGGACAACAUUUGGAAACGAAUGCUAAUACCGCAUAAAAACUUUAAACACAAGUUUUAAGUUUGAAAGAUGCAAUUGCAUCACUCAAAGAUGAUCCCGCGUUGUAUUAGCUGUUGGUGAGGUAAAGGCUCACCAAGGCGAUGAUACAUAGCCGACCUGAGAGGGUGAUCGGCCACAUUGGGACUGAGACACGGCCCAAACUCCUACGGGAGGCAGCAGUAGGGAAUCUUCGGCAAUGGACGAAAGUCUGACCGAGCAACGCCGCGUGAGUGAAGAAGGUUUUCGGAUCGUAAAACUCUGUUGGUAGAGAAGAACGUUGGUGAGAGUGGAAAGCUCAUCAAGUGACGGUAACUACCCAGAAAGGGACGGCUAACUACGUG